UUGAUUUUUUUACACCCCGGGACACAUUCUGAGUUCUCAAUUUCAAACAAAAGCACAUCUCACUUGAGAGGUACUUUUUUAUGUGUUAAAGACAUGCAAGCCCUUAUAAUAAAUGAAACCAAACCAAACCAAUUUUUUUCCUAAACCAAAUAUAACCAGACCAACUAAUAUGAAACCCUAUCGAUCUAUCUCCCUCAUUUCCCCUCUUUUCUCAUGCUUUAUCUCUCUCCCAGCUUAACGGCGGAGACUAACAAACCCUAGUUUCAGACUCACCUGUUUCACCUCUACAAUCCCACCCAAUAACUGUAUCUCUCUCCCAAUGCUCACGACAGACUCUGAGAACCAUUGUUUCACCGGCGGCGUGUCUGUAAACCCUAGUUUCUCCGGCGACGUAUCUGAAAGGGCGUAGUUUCUACGACGGCGUAUACAUCCUCAGACAUGCGAGGAAACAACAAACCAGACAACUUUGAUGCUGCUGCUCUUGGUUAGUUUCAGCGAAGGAAGAAGAAGCGCACGUAAGCUGUUCGACAAAAUACUUGUGACGAAUUAGGAGCUGCUGGUGAUUGGCAUGUUUUGUUUUGUCUACUUUGGAGUAGGCACUUGAGUACUGGAGUGAAUAUGUGUUAUUUGGAACGUUCUUGGGCUUGAGGAAUAUGUGAAUAUGUGUUUUGUCUACUUUGGAAUAAUAUGUGAAUAUGUGUUUUGUCUACUUUGGAGUAGGCACUUAGUACUGGUUUUUGGUCUCUCAUCAAAUGACCUCUUAAAUCAAAGUUUUGGGCUUUAGUCUUUCUCAAACCUUACCAUCAAA